CACGAAUAUAAUUGAAAAAAGAUUAAAAAAAGACUGCAUGGUAGUGGUAGUGUCCACUACGAAACGUUUUUCUCCCAUACUUGUUUCGUAGGGGACCGUUUCGUUGGGGACAUAUUCGCAUGUUUUAUUUUCCCCCCACAAUCCCUAUAUUGCAAUAGUAACAAGACUGAUUGUAUUCAUCAAAGCAUUUAUUAAGCUGUACACUGAUAUUUUUUUCAUAAUUUUAAAACCAGAUACUGAAGGAGAUUUGAUCCGUUUCGUAGUGGACAUUAACAAAAAUACGGUAUCACUCUGGUCCAUUUGAUGUGCUCAAUUUUUCUUACCAACAAUUUAAUUGCCGUUAUAAAAGCAUCACUUCUUUUGUAAGACCCUAAUGUUUAUAUAUCUUGCAAAC
rnacentral:lncRNA from 1 species